rnacentral:rRNA from 1 species
CCUACGGGUGGCAGCAGUGAGGAAUAUUGGUCAAUGGGCGCGAGCCUGAACCAGCCAAGUAGCGUGAAGGAUGACUGCCCUACGGGUUGUAAACUUCUUUUAUCGGGGAGCAAAGUGAGGCACGCGUGACUUUCGGUAUGUACUUUAAGAACAAGGAUCGGCUAACUCCGUGCCAGCAGCCCCGGUAAUACGGAGGAUCCGAGCGUUAACCGGAUUUAUUGGGUUUAAAGGGAGCGUAGAUGGGUUGUUAAGUCAGUUGUGAAAGUGUGCGGCUCAACCGUAAAAUUGCAGUUGAUACUGGCAGCCUUGAGUACAGUAGAGGUAGGCGGAAUUCGUGGUGUAGCGGUGAAAUGCUUAGAUAUCACGAAGAACUCCGAUUGCGAAGGCAGCCUACUGGACUGCCACUGACGUUGAUGCACGAAAGUGUGGGUAUCAAACAGGAUUAGAUACCCGAGUAGUC